rnacentral:rRNA from 1 species
UACGAAGGGUGCAAACGUUGCUCGGAAUUAUUGGGCGUAAAGCGCACGUAGGCGGCUUAGCAAGUCGGAUGUGAAAUCCCUCGGCUCAACCAAGGAAGUGCAUCCGAAACGCUGAGCUUGAGUACUUAAGAGGAUCGCGGAAUUCCAGGUGUAGCGGUGAAAUGCGUAGAUAUCUGGAGGAACACCGGUGGCGAAGGCGGCAUUCUGGACCGACAUUGACGCUGAGGAGCGAAAGCGUGGGGAGCAAACAGG